UACGUAGGGGGCAAGCGUUGUCCGGAAUCAUUGGGCGUAAAGCGCGUGUAGGCGGCUCGAUAAGUCUGCUGUGAAAGUCCAGGGCUCAACCCUGGGAUGCCGGUGGAUACUGUCGAGCUCGAGUCCGGAAGAGGCGAAUGGAAUUCCUGGUGUAGCGGUGAAAUGCGCAGAUAUCAGGAGGAACACCAAUGGCGAAGGCAGCUCGCUGGGACGUGACUGACGCUGAGACGCGAAAGCGUGGGGAGCAAACAGG
rnacentral:rRNA from 1 species